rnacentral:lncRNA from 1 species
GGUAAUUGAUUUAAACAGAGAGAAGCUGUAGUUUUGGCGGGGUAUCUGUAAGGAUAGCUCAUUCUACUAUAGUCACAGAAUUGACUUUUUUGGAAGAUGGCUAGAUUCUUGGAUGGAUUGAGUAUUUAUUAAGCACUGACCAGGUGCCAGGUCUGGGGAUAAAUGCUGGGGAUCCCAAAACCUUUCAGUUUACUGAUGGAUAAGGAGUCUUUCCCCUGGAAAUAAUUCAUCACCAAUUUUCCAAGUGCAAUUCAGACUUGUUUGAGCAAAUAAGAGUGGUCAGCACCAUGGCCAGAGAAGGAUAGAGGAAAAGUGAAAAGCAUGGAGUACAUACAGUCUGCCCAGAAUCUUGAUUCCAUCCAAGCUUUCAACUGAAUGCCCGUCGUAAUGGCAUGGCUCCAGAUCCCAGGACAAACUAAGUAGGCCCAAAACAAAGUAUUCAUGAGCAUCCAAUGAAUUAGUCACUUUGCUUCUCAAAAGCUCUAGCAGCUUGGUCAGCUUUCUCCCCUGAGAGCAAUGGAUGUAGAUUCCCUUCCCAACAACUCUCUGAGUCACCGUGGCUGGAUCCAUCCUCUGACUGCUACUCUCAGAGCCUUCAUUCAAGGAGUGAAUUGUUGAUAACAAUUUGAAGAGUUAAAUCUAGUGGAUAGAGGAAAGGUUAUCUCAAGAAAUCAAGGAGGCAAAAAAGAAGUACUUCUAUCAUCUUUGUAUAGUUUUUGCAUUAUACUUUGGUAGUCACCAGAUAGAUACAGACUUAUAAAAGACUAAAUAAAAGAGUGAACACGUUGCA